GUAGGAACGGAGGAAAGCCAACGCCGCGCUGAGUGAUGAAGGUGUAUUCGGAUCGUAAAGCUCUGUUGUUAGGGAAGAACAAGUACCGUUCGAAUAGGGCGGUACCUUGACGGUACCUAACCAGAAAGCCACGGCUAACUACGUGCCAGCAGCCGCGGUAAUACGUAGGUGGCAAGCGUUGUCCGGAAUUAUUGGGCGUAAAGGGCUCGCAGGCGGUUUCUUAAGUCUGAUGUGAAAGCCCCCGGCUCAACCGGGGAGGGUCAUUGGAAACUGGGGAACUUGAGUGCAGAAGAGGAGAGUGGAAUUCCACGUGUAGCGGUGAAAUGCGUAGAGAUGUGGAGGAACACCAGUGGCGAAGGCGACUCUCUGGUCUGUAACUGACGCUGAGGAGCGAAAGCGUGGGGAGCGAACAGGAUUAGAUACCCUGGUAGUCCACGCCGUAAACGAUGAGUGCUAAGUGUUAGGGGGUUUCCGCCCCUUAGUGCUGCAGCUAACGCAUUAAGCACUCCGCCCGGGGGAGGA
rnacentral:rRNA from 1 species